UUAAAUUGAAGAGUUUGAUCAUGGCUCAGAUUGAACGCUGGCGGCAGGCCUAACACAUGCAAGUCGAACGGUAACAGGAAUCAGCUUGCUGAUUCGCUGACGAGUGGCGGACGGGUGAGUAA
rnacentral:rRNA from 1 species